rnacentral:rRNA from 1 species
CCUACGGGAGGCAGCAGUAGGGAAUCUUUCACAAUGGGCGAAAGCCUGAAGGAGCAACGCCGCGUGCAGGAUGAAGGCCUUCGGGUUGUAAACUGCUUUUAUAAGCGAGCAAUAUGAUGGUAACUUAUGAAUAAGGAUCGGCUAACUACGUGCCAGCAGCCGCGGUCAUACGUAGGAUCCGAGCAUUAUCCGGAGUGACUGGGUGUAGAGAGUUGCGUAGGGGGCAUAAUAAGUAGCUAGGGAAAUCUGGUGGCUCAACCAUUCAGACUAUUAGCGAAACUGUUAAGCUCGAGACCGUUAGGGGUAACUGGAAUGUCUGGUGUAGGAGUGAAAUGCGUAGAUAUUAGAAGGAACACCAAUAGCGUAGGCAGGUUGCUGGGACGGUUCUGACACUAAGGCACGAAAGCGUAGGGAGCAAACGGGAUUAGAUACCCUAGUAGUC